UUAGCCCCAUCGCAACAGGGCAAGUCCAGGAGGCCAGUCAUGUUUUUCGAUAACGUGGUGAUCGCCGGAGUGCUGACAGUCGGCCUCAUGGUUCUGUUUUUUGCAGGGUUUGGAUUUUUUAUCUGGAAGGAUUCGCAUAAGCGGAGAAAACCGUAGGUCUUUCUGGAGCAAUGAGCACGCAAGGCAUUUUGGGCGACUUCGGUCGCCCUUUUUUUUG
rnacentral:sRNA from 1 species